UGGGGAAUAUUGCACAAUGGGGGAAACCCUGAUGCAGCGACGCCGCGUGAGCGAAGAAGGUUUUCGAAUCGUAAAGCUCUGUCCUAUGAGAAGAUAAUGACGGUAUCAUAGGAGGAAGCCCCGGCUAAAUACGUGCCAGCAGCCGCGGUAAUACGUAUGGGGCGAGCGUUGUCCGGAAUUAUUGGGCGUAAAGGGUACGUAGGCGGUCUAUUAAGUCAGGUGUGAAAGCGUGAGGCUUAACCUCAUUAAGCACUUGAAACUGAUAGACUUGAGUGAAGGAGAGGAAAGUGGAAUUCCGAGUGUAGCGGUGAAAUGCGUAGAUAUUAGGACGAAUACCGGUGGCGAAGGCGACUUUCUGGACUUUUACUGACGCUCAGGUACGAAAGCGUGGGGAGCAAACAGG
rnacentral:rRNA from 1 species